GAAUAAUGCACGAACCCUGUCCUGAGGAGCUCACGGCUCAGUGUAGGAGGCAGACAUGUGCACUGAAUUGAACUGAAUUCCAACUGCACAUCCUGUAUUAUUUCUACUGCAUGUUGACUAACCACAAAAAAUUGUACGGCGACUUCUUGAGCUGGAAGCUGGAGGAAACCCUUGCCCAGUUCCCUUUGCAGCCUGGGAAGGUGGCCACGUUCACAAUCAACAUCAAAGUGAAGCUGGAUUUCUCCUGCCAGGAGAAUCUCCUGCAGGAUCUCAGUGAUGAUGGAAUCAGUGUGAGUGGCUUUCCCCUGUCCAGUCCUUUUCGGCAGGUCGUUCGGCCCCGAGUGGAGGGCAAACCUGUGAACCCACCCGAGAGCAACAAAGCAGGCGACUACAGCCACGUGAAGACCCUGGAAGCUAUCCUGAAUUUCAAAUACUCUGGAGGCCCGGGCCACACUGAAGGAUAUUACAGGAAUCUCUCCCUGGGGCUGCAUGUAGAAGUUGAGCCAUCUGUAUUUUUCACCCGAGUCAGCACCCUCCCAGCAACCAGUACCCGGCAGUGUC
rnacentral:sRNA from 1 species